rnacentral:rRNA from 1 species
GACGAACGCUGGCGGCGUGCUUAACACAUGCAAGUCGAACGGAAAGGCCCUGCUUUUGUGGGGUGCUCGAGUGGCGAACGGGUGAGUAACACGUGAGUAACCUGCCCUUGACUUUGGGAUAACUUCAGGAAACUGGGGCUAAUACCGGAUAGGAGCUCCUGCUGCAUGGUGGGGGUUGGAAAGUUUCGGCGGUUGGGGAUGGACUCGCGGCUUAUCAGCUUGUUGGUGGGGUAGUGGCUUACCAAGGCUUUGACGGGUAGCCGGCCUGAGAGGGUGACCGGCCACAUUGGGACUGAGAUACGGCCCAGACUCCUGCGGGAGGCAGCAGUGGGGAAUAUUGCACAAUGGGCGGAAGCCUGAUGCGGCAACGCCGCGUGCGGGAUGACGGCCUUCGGGUUGUAAACCGCUUUCGCCUGUGACGAAGCGUGAGUGACGGUAAUGGGUAAAGAAGCACCGGCUAACUACGUG